rnacentral:misc_RNA from 1 species
GAUGAAGAACGCAGCGAAAUGCGAUAAGUAAUGUGAAUUGCAGAAUUCAGUGAAUCAUCGAAUCUUUGAACGCACAUUGCGCCCCCUGGUAUUCCGGGGGGCAUGCCUGUUCGAGCGUCAUUUCACCACUCAAGCCUCGCUUGGUAUUGGGCAACGCGGUCCACCGCGUGCCUCAAAUCGUCCGGCUGGGUCUUCUGUCCCCUAAGCGUUGUGGAAACUAUUCGCUAAAGGGUGUUCGGGAGGCUACGCCGUAAAACAACCCCAUUUCUAAGGUUGACCUCGGAUCAGGUAGGGAUACCCGCUGAACUUAAGCAUAUCAAUAAGCGGAGGA